UAGUAAUCGCGGAUCAGCAUGCCGCGGUGAAUACGUUCCCGGGCCUUGUACACACCGCCCGUCACACCAUGGGAGCCGGUAAUGCCCGAAGUCAGUAGCCUAACCGCAAGGAGGGCGCUGCCGAAGGUAGGAUUGGCGACUGGGGUGAAGUCGUAACAAGGUAUC
rnacentral:rRNA from 1 species